UAGAAGAAGAGACCCCAUUAUUUCAAACAAGACCCCCUAAAAACUGUUUCCUCUCUAGGAUGUCAUGGAGCCCCCUUUCCAAGCCCGGUAUGGUUUCUUUAACUUGGUUAGCAGAAGGAAAAGGGAUCGCGACCCACAAGCAUCCGCUGCCCGCCGGGGACGCAGUCCCGACAGUGGUGACCAGGAAAACUACGGGUGGAUUCAGAGCGUACCAACGAAGGAGCCAAAACGGUGAUCUCAGCUCUAUAAGCGUCCGACACGCUGCGGACCACAGAGCGACCACAGCGUGCGAGGGUGAGGCCAGACGCCACGUCUGUCCGAGUUUGGAAAGGAACACAGCCCCGCGGAGGAGACUGCUAUUUUGGUUUGCACAGGGGAAGGCAUCCUGUCAUGGGAUACUCCAGGCUGUGUGGGCACCCCGGGCGCAGGAGCAGGAGGACUCCCGAGGGAUGAAAAGGAAGACGGAAGCUGAGAGUUAGCGAGCGGGCUAAGAGGCGAGCGGGUUUAGCCCAGGGCCCAGUGCCUCCAAGGAGCUGAGCAAAUGUGGGCUGGACGAAUAACUCAGAAGUAGCAGGGGAUUGUGGGGGCCGGCAGGCGAGAGGACGUUCAGUCUGUGAAAUGUGGGAAUAAAUCCAUCUGCCUCCGCGGUGAGACUCCCCCAGUCUGACCCUGGUACACACCUGCCUGCGUGUCCGCAACUCGGUUGUGAGAGGUGUGAGGUCAGCACCUGCACCGAGAUUCUGAGCCAAAACUUUUAGAUGAAGGUAAAUAUAUGCAGACCGCCAGCAGGAAGUACGCAUACGCACUUUCUGGAAGUUUCUGGAAGUUACCAGGGAACUGUGAAGUUACUUCCCAAAAGGGUUAGGCCAGCCCAGGGUACACUGAAAAUCCACGUUGUAAGUCUGGCCGGAGCCAUUUCCUGGGUUGUUCCUGUGUCUCCGGGGUCGGCAUGUGGUCUCUAGCACUGAUUACUCCUGUGGCCCGCGCAGGUCUGUGGGAGAGGUCUCACCGGACCCCUUGCUAUUCUGGGGUUUGGGGAAGACUGGGGGGUCUUUGGAAGGCUGAACUUAAACGUGGGCCUUGGCUGGGCACCUUCCAGGAGCCAACACACCGCGUCAUCUCCUCUAGCCUCGGUCGUCCUGGGAACCAAGGAUUAAGCAAGAGACACCUGAGGAUCCAGGGAAAGCCUAGGUGACAUCACGUGGGUGCUUCUGACACGCCAUGACUCCGUACGGAAUCAUACACUCUGUCACCGUGGGGUGCACCUGCCUCCCAAGAUUUGGCCUAUGCAUCAGACAUGGCGGAGAGCCCAGGAGCAAAGUUCUAAGAAAGCACUGCUUCUGUACACGCAUAAAUUUCCUUCCUAUGAAAUUUCACUUCUUCCUGCUGCUACAAAUGACAGAAAGCCGCUUAUUUUCCAAAGGGAAGGAGGAAUAAUAAUAAUGAGACAUUCGACUGCGGGCCACAUGGUGUCUUCUGGAACGUUAGAAGAAGGCAGGAGCAGAGGCCGCCACGCGGACAGCCCGAGUGCGAUGAUCAGCUGUGGCCGUUCAGCUCGCCUUCCCGUCCCGGCUGACCUCGGCCUGUCUGUCUGUCCGCCUGCCCGCCUGCCCGCCUUCCCCGACGCCCGGCCCCGUCCCGGCUGAGCGGCCGGGCUCGCUCUGUGCAGGGUCUGCCCCGCAGCAGAGGAGGUCCGCAGCCCGACCCUGCGACCGGGGACCGGCCCGUCCCAUCCUGGUCCCGGCACGUGUCCUUCGCCCCCGGCCGUCGGCCGUCCUGCCCGCGGGCCUGGCUCCGGCCCGGCCCGGCCCCUCACGGCGGCCUCCAGCCCCUUCCACGCACGCGAGGCCUUGGUUUCCUUUGACCUUCAGCUCUGCCCUGAAGCAUGUCCUGACUCCCCGGGUCCGCUCUGGCGACACCCCGGCGCCCAGCCCGCUGGCGCUUAGGAGGACGGCCCGACGGCUCUCCCCGGCCCGACGGCUC